ensembl:lncRNA
GCUGGGAGCCAUUUUCAAGGACACAGGCCAGAGAGGGAGCAGUGUAUUGCUGACACUGUCUGGAUGCACACAUAACUGAGCCCCCUUAAGGCUUCUGUAUAAACUGUUAAGAUGCUUGCCUAGUGUGGACAGAUACCCAUCUUGUGGCUGCUGAAGACAAGCCUCGGAAAUUCAAAGUGUACACAGAAUUUUGGAUAAUGUCAAGAAGCUAAGAAAGUGAGAGGAUAACUUUCAGACCUACCAAUGCUGUAUUUCUGAUGUGUUCUCUGGAAGCAAAGAUGAUAUAAGCAAGAGUCAUUAAAGAGGACUUCUGUAUUUGUUGAAAAACUGUUGUCAAGAGCUUUAUAUACAAAUAUGUAUAUAACAAUACUAGGUGAUAUUAUUAUUGUUUAUUAGUUUAGUCAAGCCACUGAUGUGCUCCCACUUCUACAUUCAAAGGAUUGACGUAGAUGAUUGUGUUUCCUGUUUUAGCCCUCCCUCUCAGGGUGCUCACAGAUGAAUUUCACUCUCAGUUAUAUUUUUGGAAUAUUUGCAUCUUCCUCAAUAAUUAGUUUUUAUUUCAUAAUUUCAUUUCUUAAUCAUUGUGAAGAUGUCUUUUUCUGUUGUUCUUUCAAGCUUUUUUUUUUUAAAUUUUGAGAGAGAUGAAGGACUUUAAAACAUUUUAAGGUAACACAAUAUGGUAUUGCAAAUGUCCUAAGUAUUUUCCAUAUUAUGC